CCCAUCUCUCUCUCUCACACACACACACACACACACACACGAACACACACACGAGGCAGGGGGUGUCAAGAGCAAGAGAGCUACAUAGUCCCUCUCAGGACAUUACAGCCCCCACUUCCAAGCCUGUUCUGGACUGUGUGCUUUGCCAGGGUGCCUCAUUUCAUCCUUCCUAGGGCCCCAACAGGACAGGUUGCCCCCCACCCCUUUAAAGAGGCAGAAAGUGAGCCUGAGAGAGGCUUGUCCAAGAUCACAGGGCAUGCUCAGACGAAAGUUAGUGGUGGGCACCUGGCUCUGCGAGAUUUCCUUCUUAAUUAGCCCUGCUCCUUGGGGGCAGCUCCGUUGAGUAGAGGCACUCCUCCAAGACACCGCCCCCCUCCUUAUUGGCAGCCCUUCUCCCCUGCCUCCUCCCUCAAUCUCAAGGAAGGAAACCUAGGCACCCUCUCUACCCUAAAGCUGCUCCAUCCGCACCAACUCAGGUCAGGCGAGGAGUGGAGGGUCUGCUCCCUCGCUGGGCACACCUAUAGGCCCACCAGGGUCUGAGGCACUGGCUAAGGCUUAAUGGCUGUCUAAGCAAGACCCUCCACGGGCUCUGCCUGCAACCCCUCACAACCCAGGAUCUCAGUGGGGCCGAGAAGACAGACCCUACUUGGCCCUGGGACAGGACAGGAGGGGCAGGGACCAGCUCUCUCCGUCUUCCUCCACCCUACCCCAAGUCCCACACAGGAGCUCUGGGCCUGGGCUGGAAAUGGAAACUUUCCCACUAGACUGAGAGAGGCCCAACCUGGGGGGCAGACUGGAAGAAGGUGGGAGGCCUGGAAACUACUAAAAGCUUGCGGGUCACAUAGAUUUAGGUUCCCGGGCAGCUCUACCACCUGCUGGCUGUGUGACCUUGGGCAAGGGGCUUUACCUCUUUGAGGCUCAGUGUCCUUAUCUGCAAAGCGAAAGAAAAAUAGCGCCCUCCUAAGGGGGUGAUUGUGAAGGUCAAAGGCAGGGGCGAUGUGCACAGUCUGCGGGGCCUCGAAGUCAGCCAUUAUGCCCCCCAAAGUGAGCAGCGGGUGAGCAGCCACCACUGUGACCUCACCCUGCCCCCGACUCCCAGUUCUGAAAAUUCUUCAUUAGCACCAAAUCCAAACUUUUCCUCAGCAGUGGCAGGACCCAGGCGCGGGUCCUCCUUCCUCCUCCCGCCCCCUCGCGGUCAGACAACAGACCCCCCAUCUGCAAACUAGGGAUCAUCAUAAUGCCCUAACAGGGCUGAGUAGAGUUGACCCAGCUGCUUGUGUUCCAAAAGAGAGUUCAGCAGUGGAAUCCCAGGCAUCUUCAUACCGUCAGUGAAGCCAUCCGAACUUUGGCAUGCAGAAGUUCCACUUUCGUAACGAAGGGAAUUAUCUCAGGUCCCCAAUAAUCCUUCAAGGUCUACCUGGAGAAAAUGUUGAGCAUUAGAAAGAGCAAAAGCUUCGGAGUCGCCCAGCUGCAGAUCCAAAUCCCAGCUCCCAGCUCCACUGUUCCAUUCAUUCGCUCGCUGGGUAUUUGUUGAACAUCUGCUACAUAGGAGGCACUGUACUUUGUGUUGAGUACAUCAUUGAUUUGGAUGAAAAUCCUUGCUGUCACAGAGCUCACAUCCUAAUGGAACAUUUUAUUUGCUACUUGACCUCAGGCAAGUCAUUGCACCUCUCCAAGCCUCAGUUUAUCCAUCUUUAAAGUGGGACUUGUAACCCCCAACCUUGCAAUGUGGCUGAGAUACAAGCAGGUAAGGGGCCUGAGACAUUCGAUGAAAGGCAUCCCAGGCACCUAGAGCUGGAAGGAACCUCGUUCCAAGAUGAUUCUGCAGCUGUUGCCAAAUGCAGAUGAGACAGGGGCUGCAACAUGGUUCAUCCAAGGCCACUCAGUGAGGUGGGGCAGAGCAAGAAUGGCGGCCCAGGUGCCCUCUCCUGUCCUGCUUCCCUUGAGUCUGAUGCUCUCUGUGUGGUCCAGUCAGGGCUGAGAAGUGAAAGGAAAUAGAGGCUGCCCUUCACCUCCCCUCCAGCUCCUGAAGCUGGAAGCUGCCUCUUCUCCUCUCACAUCACCACCAGGCAAUCAUGGGGAAAGCAUAGCCUGACUACCUUUUGGAAACAGCAGCCUCUAGUGUCUGGGCCAGAACAAGGGCUCAGGAGGAGCCCCAGGCAGCCCAGCUUUUGAGUCGGAUGGAAAUUACUAUUCUCUAAAUAUCAGUUCAGCCACAGUUAUUCAGGGAAGAGGCCCAGCACAGAUUGGGGAGGGUGAGGAGGAUGCGGGGAACAGAAUUAGCUUCUCUGUUGUCAGCCCCUGCAGUUUAGCUCUGACAGCAAACCUGCACAUUUUACUCAGCAAAACCAAGGCCCGAUCCCUGCCUCGCCCUCUUGUUGGCAGUCCAUGCAGUGGACCUGCUCUCAAAGAUCUCACCCUUCCUCAGGCUGCAGGGCCUCACCCAACCACGAUUCCUUUUAACCCACAGAAGACUUUAUGCCGAGGAGUCCUGGAAUAUCUCCUUUUCUCCAUCUUGGGACAUCUGUGGGGCGGUUUUUCCCCCUCUAGAUGGGGGCAUCAAAAACUGCCUUGCUUUCCUGACCUUAACCCAUCUCAGUGCCCAUGGGGUUGCGCUAAACAUCUCCAGAGAAAUGUCUUUAAAUAAACAGAUUUCAUACUUGAGAGGAGACCAGAAAUGUCUAAAACCAUCUCUGUUUACUCUCUCACAUUUGUGAGGUUUGUUUGUUUGUUUGUUUAUUUGUUUGUUUUAAAGCCAAUCAUGGUCUUUUCUUCAAAAACCAUGAAAGAAGAAAGGAUGCUAACAGCUCCAUUUCACAGAUGGCAAAACUGAGGCUGAACAUGGGAAAGUGACUUGUUGGAGGCUCUGUGGUUAAGAAAGAUGUGUAUCUCUCUCUCUCUUUUUUUUUCU
rnacentral:lncRNA from 1 species